rnacentral:rRNA from 1 species
CCUACGGGAGGCAGCAGUAAGGAAUAUUGGUCAAUGGACGAGAGUCUGAACCAGCCACGUCGCGUGAAGGAUGACUGCCCUAUGGUUUGUAAACUUCUUUUAUAUGGGAAUAAAACGUUCCACGUGUGGGAUUUUGUAUGUACCAUAUGAAUAAGGAUCGGCUAACUCCGUGCCAGCAGCCGCGGUAAUACGGAGGAUCCGAGCGUUAUCCGGAUUUAUUGGGUUGAAAGGGAGCGUAGGUGGAUUGUUAAGUCAGUUGUGAAAGUUUGCGGCUCAACAGUAAAAUUGCAGUUGAAACUGGCAGUCUUGAGUACAGUAGAGGUGGGCGGAAUUCGUGGUGUAGCGGUGAAAUGCUUAGAUAUCACGAAGAACUCCGAUUGCGAAGGCAGUUCACUGGACUGCAACUGACACUGAGGCUCGAAAGUGUGGGUAUCAAACAGGAUUAGAUACCCCUGUAGUC